UGACCUCAGCUCAGUCGUGAUACCCGC
rnacentral:rRNA from 1 species